rnacentral:tRNA from 1 species
GUCAAGAUGGCCGAGUGGUUAAGGCGUUCGCCUCGAAUGAUGACAGCGAAUGGGUUCGCCCGCGCAGGUUCGAAUCCUGUUCUUGACG